AAUUUGAUGUUUGUUUUUUAUGUAAUUAUUUUCAUAUUUAGGUAUAGAUUUGAAAAUUCUCCUGAUAACAAUACUAGUGGAUGAGAAAGAUCCAGCUUGUGGAUGAGAAUUAUAGCAAAGGGAAUAUAGUUAUAGUGCGGUUGGAUGAGAAAGAUGAUCGAGUCAACAAAGUUGAAAAACACAAGUGCUCUCCUCUCUCUCUAAUCUCUAUUGCUUCAACGUCUCAACACUCUACUGCUUUGAUAAUGGCAGAUCUAGCUUACAUCAUAGCUGGAAAUGUCUUGGACAAACUGGGUUCUCUUGCUUAUGAAGAGGUUAGCUUGGCAUGGGGAAUGAAACAAGAUCUUGACAAGCUUAAGCUAAUCACAUUAGCCCUCCAAGAUGUGCUCCUGGAUGCUGAAACUAAGCAAGAAAAGAAUCCACAGCUCAAAAACUGGCUCAAUCACCUUAAGGAUGUGUUCCAUGAUGCGGUGGAUGUGCUCGAUGAAUUCGAGUGUGAGUUACUGAGGAGACAAGUUGUCAAACAACAUGCCUCUUUUGGUAGAAAGGUAUGCCGUUUCUUUUCGCGGUCCAAUCCUCUUGUUUAUCGUUUUAGUGUUGUUCAUCGAGUUAAAGAGAUAAGACAACAAUUAGAUGAGAUUGUUAAGAAUAUGGAAACAUUUCAUUUGAUCAAAACUCAGCUGCAUAUGGAACAAAACUCUCUUGUGUUGGAGAAUAGAGUGAUGACUCACUCUUUUGUUAACCCUUCGGAUGUUAUUGGUAGAGAUCGUGAAAAAGAAGAGAUCCUAGAUAUGAUAUUGAUGGAUGAUCACAAAAUUGAGAAUCAAAUUCCUGUGGUAUCUAUAAUGGGAAUUGGGGGUUUAGGAAAGACUACACUUAUCAAAUCAGUUUUCAAUGAUGGGAAAAUUGAUGAAAAGUUUGAUUUGAAGAUUUGGGUUUGUGUAUCUUUAGAUUUCAAUGUCAAUACACUAGUGAAAGAUGUUAUUAUGAGUGCAACUAAUAAUAGAGCUGAGAUUAGUAAGUUGACUAAUUUAGAGCAGUUGCAAAGACCCUUGAGUGAGACUUUGAAGGAUGAAAAGUUUCUACUUGUGUUGGAUGAUGUAUGGAAUGAGGACCCUUUUAAGUGGCAGGAAUUUGCGGAGUUGUUAUCUGUGGGAUCUAAAGAUAGCAAAAUUAUAGUGACAACACGAAGUAGUAAAGUGGCUUUAAUCAUGGGUGGAACAGAAGCUUAUGAAUUGAAGGGCCUACCUAAGAAGGAUUCUUUGUCUCUGUUUUUCAAGUAUGCAUUUCGAGGUGAAGAAGACGCAUCAAAAUAUCAUGAACUCAAAAGAAUUGGUGAAGAAAUUGUGGAAAAGUGUAGCGGGGUUCCUUUGGCGUUGAAGACUUUGGGCAGUCUCCUUCAGUUGAAGACUGAAGCUCAUGAGUGGAAAACUGUAAGAGAUAGUAAAAUUUGGGAGUUAGAACGAGAAAAAGGUCGCAUUUUACCUGCAUUACGGUUAAGUUACAAUGCAAUGUCUCCAUCUUUGAGACAGUGUUUUGCUUAUUGCUCAACUUUCGAAGAGGAUAGUUUGAUGGAAAGCAUUUAUUUGAUUAGUAUUUGGAUGGCACUUGGAAUCCUUCCUUCACCUGAAAACAAAGAGGACCUCGAAGAUAUCGGUUACUCAUGCUUUGUAGAGUUGUGCGACAGAUCUUUAUUUCAAGUUGAUCCUGAUGAAGAUUAUUUUGAAAUCUCCCAAGAGUUCAGAGUGCAUGAUUUAAUUCACAACCUUGCAUGCUCAAUAACCCAAAAUGAGUGCUCAAUUGUAAAUUCCAAUGACGAUAGAGAGAUUUCUGAUACGGUAAGAUAUUUAAGAGUUGUUAUCAAUGAGAAUAACUUAAAAAAGUUGAGUAAGCUAAAGAAACUAAAGAGUAUUCAUGUUAAGCUUACCGGAGAUGAGAAGGAUGAAGUUGUGCAGUUAUUCCUUUCUACAUGCAUCUCAACAUUCAAGCACUUACGAGUGUUUGAUUUGUCAGAUUUAUCUUUUGAGGUGUUGCCUAAUUCUAUUGGGACCAUGAAGCAGUUGAGAUAUCUUAACUUGAACAAUAAUGAAAUUAUGAAGAGACUACCUGAUUCAAUUUGCAAGUUGCAAAGUUUGCAAACUUUGAUUCUUGCUGGAUGUGUGGAGCUUGAGGAAAUACCCAAGGAUAUAGGGAAUUUGGUAAGCCUAAGGACUCUUAUGUUAACCACAAAGCAGAGCUUUUUGGCAGAGGGUGGAAUUGGACGCUUGAAGUCUCUUCGUUUAUUGGGUAUUUGUGGGUGUGAAAAUUUGAAAGCCUUGCCGAAUGACUUGAUAAAUUGCACUGCAUUACGUUCUCUCAUAAUAGAUCGUUGUGAUCAACUCAACUUGGCAAGUGAAUUUAUUGAUAAAGAUGUUAAGUUGAGGCUUGACAGAUUUCUUAUUUUUGAAUUACCACAGACAACUGAUCUGCCCCAAUGGCUCCAACAAGCUGCUAACACCCUACAAAAGUUAUAUAUUAUAGAUUGUCCCAAAUUAUCGAGAUUGCCGGAGUGGCUGCCAAAACUUACGUCACUUGAGAAGCUUGUGAUUAAGGAGUGUCCAGAAUUGUUGUCUCUUCCUGAUGGGAUGGAAGGCCUCACUUCCCUCACACAUUUGAAGAUUGAAGAUUGUGAUGCAUUACAGGAAGCAUGCAAAGAAGAAGUAGGCUCAGAUUGGCAUAAAAUUGCUCAUGUUCCCAAUCGUAUUAUUGGUGAAGCUGAUUGAUCAUCACGAGGAGAAGGAAGAAAGAGGUAUGCAUCUACUUUUGUUGUUGAUGUAUACAUACAUACAUACAUUACAUACAUGUUAUCAUGAUUAAUUUUUUUUUUUUUGUUAUGCUAAUAUAUGUAUGUUUGUGUUUGUGUGUGUACAGGUCCUCUGUUCUUUUCCCUAAAGUGAUUAAGUUCAUGAAGUUGGUAUCUCUUUUGUCAACAUGUUCAACUAAGAUUUAAGUAUUGUGAUUACUUUUGGCAUUAUCUUAGUGCAUGAAUAAUUGUUGCUACUAUAUUUUUCUAUUUGAUGUUGAAUAAUGUAAUUAUUGCUAUA